rnacentral:rRNA from 1 species
GAUGAACGCUGGCGGCGUGCCUAAUACAUGCAAGUCGAGCGAACGGACGAGAAGCUUGCUUCUCUGAUGUUAGCGGCGGACGGGUGAGUAACACGUGGAUAACCUACCUAUAAGACUGGGAUAACUUCGGGAAACCUGAGCUAAUACCGGAUAAUAUUUUGAACCGCAUGGUUCAAAAGUGAAAGACGGUCUUGCUGUCACUUAUAGAUGGAUCCGCGCUGCAUUAGCUAGUUGGUAAGGUAACGGCUUACCAAGGCAACGAUGCAUAGCCGACCUGAGAGGGUGAUCGGUCACACUGGAACUGAGACACGGUCCAGACUCCUACGGGAGGCAGCAGUAGGGAAUAUUCCGCAAUGGGCGAAAGCCUGAUGGAGCAACGCGGCGUGAGUGAUGAAGGUCUUCGGAUCGUAAAACUCUGUUAUUAGGGAAGAACAUAUGUGUAAGUAACUGUGCACAUCUUGACGGUACCUAAUCAGAAAGCCACGGCUAACUACGUG